GGGAAUUUUGGACAAUGGGCGCAAGCCUGAUCCAGCAAUGCCGCGUGUGUGAAGAAGGCCUUCGGGUUGUAAAGCACUUUUGUCCGGAAAGAAAACCUCGUGGUUAAUACCCGUGGGGGAUGACGGUACCGGAAGAAUAAGCACCGGCUAACUACGUGCCAGCAGCCGCGGUAAUACGUAGGGUGCAAGCGUUAAUCGGAAUUACUGGGCGUAAAGCGUGCGCAGGCGGUUCGCUAAGACAGAUGUGAAAUCCCCGGGCUUAACCUGGGAACUGCAUUUGUGACUGGCGGGCUAGAGUAUGGCAGAGGGGGGUAGAAUUCCACGUGUAGCAGUGAAAUGCGUAGAGAUGUGGAGGAAUACCGAUGGCGAAGGCAGCCCCCUGGGCCAAUACUGACGCUCAUGCACGAAAGCGUGGGGAGCAAACAGGAUUAGAUACCCUGGUAGUCCACGCCCUAAACGAUGUCAAC
rnacentral:rRNA from 1 species